CAGACUAGACCUUUGCUGUCCAAUUUGACAACCCUGGCUGACACUUAUCUAAAAUAAAGAAUUUUAAGUGCUUGACGGUCACAUGUGGCCACGGGCUAGUAGAGUGGACAUCACAAAGUGUGUUCUCAUCUCGGCAGACUGCUCUCUUGGACAGUGCUGCAAAUGCAGGAUCUAAGUCGUCAAGCUAAAUUUACAGCGUCGCUCUCCCUGCAGGCAGUCAGGCCUACACCUGGUUAAACCGUCUUCCUUCACACCUGAACUUUUAGGAACGGCAAAUUCCCCACAUGAUUCAUUAUCAGCGUCACCAGCUACCGAACUGGGACCACAAUCAGGUGAGCAGCAGCAGUCACUGUGACUGGACAGCCCCCACCCCAGUGUCCCCACCCACUGUGAAAGCAGGCCACUGCAUCGCUCAAGUUCCUCGCUCAAGUUCCAAGUUAGGACAGCCUAGUGUGUGGUAUUGUCAAACACAAGGUAUGCAAAAUGAAUAAGAAAUUAACUCUGGGUGCAAAACUGUUAUGCAAAACGGGGCCAUUGAACUGAACAGGCGAGCAGGCACCAGGGAAGAAGCUGUAAUCCUCUGGCAAGACAUUCUGCCAACAUCCACAAAUUCCCAAAAGUGAAUUCUAAAGACAGCCAACAAGACAAGACAGCUUCCGAAACUGGGACUCUAGUCCUACCAUUUAAGGGCUAUGUGAUCUUGGGCAAGUUGUAUUCCCUUUGGGGUGAAAGACCCCCUCAGCCUUAAGGAGGGGUAGGGGUGGGGACAGCCCUCUCCAGUCCCUCCCUUCCCAGCACGUCAGGCUCCUGGGCUUCCCAGGGCUCCCAGCCCACAGGUGUUUCUUCCUGGUCUCUGUCCCUCUCAGCAGGGGACUGUGGCGAGGGGGAGCUCAAGGUCAGCCGCUUUAGAAGACCUUCAGUACCUGGUGCACACUGCCCGAGGUUAAGACAAUAAACAGGGACAGUGGCUUUAGGAAGUCUUUGGAGGAGAUCGAGUAUUCCCAGAGACUAACAGUUAGGAGCUGCUCCAUCAGCUGAGUCACUAGCUAGGUUUAGGAUGCUACAGGUUUCUUUCUGAAAACCCUUUCAGGGUCAGGCACUUCCGUUUCCUUGACAAUUAGACAUGGAACAGAUAGGGGGGGACACUCCAUGACAAGGUAUGGUAAAGUCUGGAACUAGCAGGGCCUCCCAAAAAUUAAUGAUUCUAUUUAUAAAAUGUAAAACCAAAUGAUUCUAUUUUUGAACAAAUUCCUAAUUCCAAAAAGAACCAGAGUAUCAGGUGUCUAAUAAACACCAGAAGGCUAACAAACCAAGAGGGCUGUUGAGGUUGGAGAGAUGGCUCAGUGGUUAGGCCCACUUGUUGCUGUUGGAGAGAUCUGGGCUCUGUUCCUAGCACCUGCAUGGUGGUUCAUCGGCAUCCCUAACUCCAGUUCUGAAGAAUAUGAAGCCUUCUUCUGACCUCUGUGGGCCCAGGCAUGCAUGUGGUACAGAGACACACAUGCAAGCAAAAUAUACACAUCAUAAAAUAAAAAUGAAAAAAUUUAAAAAAAUCACCCAUAAGGCACCUUAAAUGUAUUAAUAUAGGACUUUUUCUACCUGUAAUCCAGUCAAGUUUCUGCGCGUUAGCCAAUGGUCAGAAACAACAUACAUAUUGUUUCUGCCUGGGUCCUGCAGCUAAGGCACCUGUGGUCACCCUCUGCUUCUUCCUGGCCGAGGUCUUAGACUUAGCCAUUGUGGAAGCCAAUUUCUACAGCAUUUCAAGGAGGAUGGAGAGAGCUACACACUUCUUCCAACAGGCUGGGCAUUCCCGUGACCUAUAUCCACACUGAGAACUUGUUGCCCUUUUAAAUCUUAACAAAGCCUUUGUAAAUGCAAAGCAUUCGCACUGCUCUAAAGCUCAGAGCUAACACUGAACAACCGAACCCCAGCAGGUCUCAGUAUCGCAAGCAGGAGCCUAGCUCCCUUCAGGCUGCACGGCUAGAGUACGCAUCCUCCAAAAUGAAGUUCCCUUUUGAUCAAUUCUGCACAUUCUCUGCCUGCAAUCCAUCUGUAAUUUGAAGCUGUGUCCCUGGCAAAACCCUUGCAGUACUAACCAACGCUAGCACCAAGGUAACAAACUCCGCGAGCAGACAACUUAGCCAGGCCCGCCGGCCCGCCUCUCUUUCCUUCCCCCACCCAAGACCUUCCCCGGGCAGUGACUUCACAUCCUUUGACAUCAGCACAGCCUCGAAAGGGGGAUGGGAGAGCAGGGAGAAAGCAGAAAAACCAGCUUUGAACUCUGCGUGCAAGGCCUCCUGAGCCUCAGGCCCCGUAAGAAUCCCAGCUCUUGGAGGAUGGCACCGGGGCCACAAGCACCAUCAGAGAGUGUGAAUGACCCGAGAGCAACCAGAUAGAGGGAGCGUAUGCUCACCCGUCCUCCAUGAUUCUGCCGUUUCCCAAACUGGUUCCCCCAAUCCAGUGGUAGCUUAGACCAACCUGUCCUGUGCCCUCUGCCUCUCAGCUCUUAUUUUAUUCAUUUAGGUUCCUUUUCCUUUCCCAGAAGUACUAGUGGGGGAGCCUAGGGCCUGGUGCUCGUUGGGCAAACGUCUGCCAUUAAACUACACCUUCAGCCUGAGCACUUACUUUAGGAGCAUUCUGGCAACACAGUUUUUAGGAAGUAAACGGCUAUUUAAACACUGCAAAGCUCCAACGGGUGCAUGCGCUCAGCCUCCUUACUCUCAACGGGCAAUCGAGGGGUUAUAGCCAGGACACAGGUUUCUUCCUGAGACCUAGUUUCCACCCCCAACCCAGAAAAACGAGGGUUAAAAAUCUAUGGAGGAGCCAGGAAGUGCUACAGAAACAGGAUAUAUCUAUCCAUGGCUAUGAAGGUAUCUCACAGGCAUAAGGAACAUAAGAGGCAGGGACAUAAGGAAAAUGCAAUGUCAGGCUUAUUUUACAUUCAAGUAAAUUUAUUUAUUCAUUGUUGUACAACCUGUGGGAAAAUAGUUUUUUCAUUCCACCAUGUGGUGACAGGAAUCAAACUUGGGGCCUCAGAGUUUGUGGCAAGUGUCUUUACCCACUAAGCUGUCUUUUGGCCCGUUCCAUUAUUGUAGUUUAAAAAUGUUAUGUUUGAUUCCUUAAGUUAUGCUUUCUUUACAUUUAAAAUUGAGAUUUUUCUAUUCAUUUAUUACACUAUUUUUCCUAUCUUUAAAAAGUUAUUCUCAGAGAAAAGAGCACUUCCAGUUGGAGCAGUGUCGGGGUGCUGGUGGGGAGGCGAUGGAAAUGUGAGGACUGAAAAUUCCUCACUUUCCAGAAACUUUUCUGGAAUUAUGCUGUGCCAUUUUACAAUGCCCAACUCAAGAACAAGAUAAAUAAAAGCCUUUAGCUCCUAAAUACACCUGACACACAGGCCCAUUACCACUGUGGUGAAUGAACGAGGGUGAUUACGGGAUCCUCCCUCCCCAAGAACAGAUUUACCUUCUCAGUAGCUGUUGAGGUCAUUCAAUAGGAAAGAAGGCUAUUUGAGUCCCUAGCCUCUCUCCUUCUGCCCCAGAGAUGCUGCAGGUUCUACAGCUCAGCAGACACAGGUGGAGUGAGCUUGCAGGGCUGGGACAGACCUGCUGAGGAGGUGUACCUCGGUCCGGCAUCCUGUCUCUAACAAUCCUGGAAAGUGGAAGCUACCCACCGGAUGCUGUUCUCUGCGCUUGCACUUGUGGGCUCCUGGAGAGCAGCCUGUGCUCUGAUCACGAGGCGGGCCUCUUUAUUUUUUUUCAACAUAAAUGACGAGAUUGUCCUAAAAUUCAUCCGGAAAAAGAAUGGCAAGAAUGAGGACAAUUCUGAAGAGAGAGGCUAGAGCCACCGACCUGAGUCAACAGAGCAGUGAAGAGUCUGACUAGGCGGACAUCACAGGAAGAACACAAUGCAGGAGCAGUGACCCCAAACCAACAAACGCUCUCAGACAAUGAAGAAUAAACCAGGUCAGUGGGACGGAGAGAAUCACACAAACAGCUCUUAGAAGACAGCUAACUGAUAUGCAAAAAUCAGCUCAAGCCCUUCCUCACACCAAAAUGUAUCUACUGUGAAUUAGACAAACAUAAAACAAGUCACGACUACUCCAACCCCACAGCUUUUAGAAGAGGUGUCAACCCUACAGCUAGACCAGGACACUUACAACCACCAAUGACUGACGGACAACAGUUAAUUUGUAUGUUUCACAAGAAUCAAUUCUGGUGUUUGUUUUCCCAAAUAGGGUUUCUCUGUGUAGCCCUGGCUGUCCUGGAACUCACUCUGUAGAGCAGGCUGGCCUGGUCUCGGAGAUCUGUCUGCCUCUGUCUCCAGAGUACUGGGAUUAAAGGCGUGUUGCCACCGAAACCUUCUCACAAGAAUCAGAACUGAAAUAACCUCGAACUUUUUCACAUCCCCCCUCAACCAAAGAAAAUAUAAAUACAGAUUAAUAAAAUGUAUUAGAAAAACGUUAAGCCCUUAGGAUUUAAAUGAUCUAUUUCAUGUAAACAGAACUAUGAGCAGUCGGUAAAUGCAUGGCAAACAGUUUUCAUCUAUUAGGGCAACAGUAAUUUUUUUUUACAUAUUAUCUGUCUGCAUUUAGUGGACGGACACAUGUCAAGGGGCAAUUGUGAGGGUCAGAGGACAGCUUAAGAGUCAGUUCUCUCUUCCUGCUAUGUUGGUCCCAGGGAACAGAACCCAGGGGUGGCAGCCACUGUGCCAUCUUACCCGUCCGACUCCAGCGGCACAGAGAACAGUAAGUGCACUGUGUCGGGGCUUUGACAACAGAGCUGCGGACUUUGCUCACUGGCUGAGAAAAGUCUGCCACAGGCUCCAAGAGCUGCGUGGUGCUUCUGAGAACCCAUUCUAGAAAUGUAAUAACCAUGCAUGAGACAGUUCAUUCUGGGCUGAACUAUGACCUGUAACACAAAACUCAUUAUUCCUACAUGUACCUGGGUGUGUGCACAAAUCGGAGGACCGCCUACAGGAACCAGACCUUUCCUUCUACCUUGUGGGUCUCCCCAGGACAGAACUCAGAUCAACGGUCUCCGGAGCAAGUACCUCUGUCUACUGAGCCACAGUGCCAGCACCGUCCUGACCAUUUUCACAUCAAGACGUAAACUCUUGGCUCCUCAGCACCAUGUCUGCUUGGAUGCCACCAUGCUUCCCGCCAUGCUGAUAAUGGACUGAACCUCUGAAAUGGCUAGCCCUGUCAGUGCUGUCCUUGUACACAAAGAGUAGGCAGCCCCACCUCUGAUCAGCGAGCCUCGACUACACGAAGAGGGAGGACAUGCUACUGAGUCCCGUCAGUCACGUCAGUCAGGCACCACACACAGUCGUGAAGACCACCAUACAGGUGGCGAUGCAGUGGCCUGUGCCUUCCAGUCAUCGCCCGUCCAGGGUCCAGGGCUACAACCUUCUACACUGACUCUCAAGAGUUCCCGGCCUCCUAGGCCAGGGCUGUGCUGUGACAGGUCGGAACUCACAGGCCUCCUACAGGAAAGUGGGGAGGAGCUGGAACUUUCCAGGAAGACUCUGGAAUCUUCACAUUGCAUGAGACCUAAACUCUGCCUGUGUUCCCUGGUCUUCUGUCACUGUUUUGUUCUCUACUAAAAACAAACAAACAAAUAAACAAACAAACCAAACAAACCACCUGCCUAUAAACACACCCCACUGAUUUAAUGUUAGUAAGUAUUUCUGAACCAAACUUUCAGAUCUUGACUUCUAAAUUUAGCCAAAGGUUUUAUUUUUUCUCUCUCACCACUGCAAUCUGGCAUUUUAACCUGAAAGUCUAUAGUAAUGCAGUGGUAGAGCAUAGUGUCAGACUUGCCAGUGCCACUUUUUAAAACCCCUGAGACCUAUGUGAGCACGGCUUACGGGUCUCGUUGGGAAAAAAGUCUAACCUAAAACCUCUGCCUUCACUUGUAGUUCAAAAUAGACUUUCCUUAGACAGAUCAAAGCUCCCUAGCACGAAGCUCUGCUCAAAGGCUGCCAGGAAAGUCUGUGCCAGCAUCAAGGACGAAAGGACAGGCUCGGGUGGCCCUGUUGAUUCGAGCAAGUCUCCAGCGACUGAGCAGAGCCACCACAGCUUAUCUCGAAAGCUUAUGGAGCAAAGCUUGCUACCCCAGCUCCUGCAUGCAGACCUGGGCUCACUUUAUUUUGUUUUUUUUCUUUUUUGUUUUUUUUUUUGCCCUGGGCUCACUUUAAAUCCUUGCAGCUGGGCUGGGAGCCUUUCAGACCGGAGCAGGUGCUCACAUCUUUUUUUUUGCUCUGAGAAGACAGGAAACCCAUGAACUCUAUAGAAAGUAUUCAAGCAUCUGAGUUUCCACACCAGCUGUUCUAUAUGGUCUGCCUCCACCCUUAGCAUCUGGCAGCAGGUCAGUUAACAACUGAUCUUGCUUUUAAGAACCCCAAGAGGGGUUGGGGAUUUGGCUCAGUGGUAGAGCGCUUGCCUAGCAAGUGCAAGGCCCUGGGUUCGGUCCCCAGCUCAAAAAAAAAAAAAAAAAAAAAAAAAAAAAAAAAAAAAAAAAAGAA